rnacentral:lncRNA from 1 species
GACACAAAGACCUUUGGAAUUCUAGUAAGCUUCAAAACACUGGACCUGGGCAGAUAUCAACCCUCUAAGAGUUGGGGAAGAGCUACAAGGUCACUGAGGUAAUGCAAAAGUUCCUGCCCUCAGCAAUGACGGGGAAUGGAGAAUGGCUAGAAGAUGGAGUGUCUUGAAAGGUUUAUGCCCUUAGAGGACAAUACAAGGGAUGAGUAGGAGAGACCCUGCUUGUCAUUGCUAGACCACCUGGGACUCUUCUUCACUGGCAUGGCCACCUGCAACUGCUUCCAGAACCUGCCCUGAGGAUACUUGGAUUUCUCUCCUUUCCAUUUAAUGACCGUGAGCACCGUCUUAGCCCGCUUCAGCUCUUUCACCUUCAUGUCCUUCACAGCUUUGUACUGCACUAAAAUGACGUUGAUGUUGCCCCGGGAGGCCAUAUUUUCUAGGCCAGCCUUGAGCUCCAGGAGGGCUUGUGUUCCCUGGAGCACGUAGUUGGGACUUAGGACAACCAGGAGUCGUCUGCUUUUCUGAAUGAAGCUCAGGGUCUCAUCUGUGACAACUGGGAAAGAAAACACCAUGGGGAUUAGUGUUGGCCAAGAACUACCUGAUUCAAAGAGGUGAAGGAUGGAAGAUAGGGAACUUGGAACGACAGCCUGGGAAACAAGGCUGAAACAGCUUUAUCAGCAACAGUCCUAGUAACUUUCUCUUUAACCACACUGUUCCUGGAAUGUCACUCUGAUGAGGAAAAAAAAAUGGAGUCAUAUAUAAAUGCCCAACUCUCCAAAUGUUUCCAAAUGACUAAAACUAAAAUAUGGUGGAAUAUGAUGGGCUGCUGUUACCCAGUUCCUCAAAGGCCCUAUUUGAACCAGAUGGAAUAGAUAUAUUGUAGUGACAUCACUUUCUUCAAAUAGUGUUGCAGCUCAGACAAAGAGGCUCCUGAAAGAAAAUACUAUCUUCUAUGAAACGUCUUCACACAAAUAUGAACUUCAGAGUCAAAGCCCCCAAGUUGCAGCUGCAGCUAACCAAGGACAACACCAGGGAAUGCCAAAUUUGAGUCUGUCUCUCUGUCUCUCUCUCUCUGUCUCUCCCUCUCCCCCUCCCUCCCUCUCUCUCUUUCUCUGCUGAUGUGUACUUUCCUGAUGCCAACUGAUGUCACUGUUGCUAGAUUAGUAACUCAAGCAAAUGGCAUCUUGGCAAGCAGUGUAUUCCCCCAUCAGCUCUUUAGUUUUCUCUGUUGUGGAGAUGAAAUAAAACAUGCAUAUUUCUCUUUAA